GAGGACCUUUGGCGGCGCGCCUAACACAUGCAAGUCGAACGAGCGAGAGAGAGCUUGCUUUCUCGAGCGAGUGGCGAACGGGUGAGUAACGCGUGAGGAACCUGCCUCAAAGAGGGGGACAACAGUUGGAAACGACUGCUAAUACCGCAUAAGCCCACGGCUCGGCAUCGAGCAGAGGGAAAAGGAGCAAUCCGCUUUGAGAUGGCCUCGCGUCCGAUUAGCUAGUUGGUGAGGUAAUGGCCCACCAAGGCGACGAUCGGUAGCCGGACUGAGAGGUUGAACGGCCACAUUGGGACUGAGACACGGCCCAGACUCCUACGGGAGGCAGCAGUGGGGAAUAUUGCACAAUGGGGGAAACCCUGAUGCAGCGACGCCGCGUGGAGGAAGAAGGUCUUCGGAUUGUAAACUCCUGUUGUUGGGGAAGGUAAUGACGGUACCCAACAAGGAAGUGACGGCUAACUACGUGCCAGCAGCCGCGGUAAAACGUAGGUCACAAGCGUUGUCCGGAAUUACUGGGUGUAAAGGGAGCGCAGGCGGGAAGACAAGUUGGAAGUGAAAUCUAUGGGCUCAACCCAUAAACUGCUUUCAAAACUGUUUUUCUUGAGUAGUGCAGAGGUAGGCGGAAUUCCCGGUGUAGCGGUGGAAUGCGUAGAUAUCGGGAGGAACACCAGUGGCGAAGGCGGCCUACUGGGCACCAACUGACGCUGAGGCUCGAAAGUGUGGGUAGCAAACAGAAUUAGAUACCCUGGUAGUCCACACCGUAAACGAAGAUUACUAGGUGUUGGAGGAUUGACCCCUUCAGUGCCGCAGUUACACCAAUAAGUAAUCCACCUGGGGAGUACGACCGCAAGGUUGAAACUCAAAGGAAUUGACGGGGGCCCGCACAAGCAGUGGAGUAUGUGGUUUAAUUCGACGCAACGCGAAGAACCUUACCAAGUCUUGACAUCCCUUGACAGACAUAGAAAUAUGUUUUCUCUUCGGAGCAAGGAGACAGGUGGUGCAUGGUUGUCGUCAGCUCGUGUCGUGAGAUGUUGGGUUAAGUCCCGCAACGAGCGCAACCCUUAUGGUCAGUUACUACGCAAGAGGACUCUGGCCAGACUGCCGUUGACAAAACGGAGGAAGGUGGGGAUGACGUCAAAUCAUCAUGCCCUUUAUGACUUGGGCUACACACGUACUACAAUGGCGUUAAACAAAGAGAAGCAAGACCGCGAGGUGGAGCAAAACUCAGAAACAACGUCCCAGUUCGGACUGCAGGCUGCAACUCGCCUGCACGAAGUCGGAAUUGCUAGUAAUCGUGGAUCAGCAUGCCACGGUGAAUACGUUCCCGGGCCUUGCACA
rnacentral:rRNA from 1 species